CUAGGGGCGGGGAGGCGGGUGCCGCGCUCGCGGGUCACCCUCGGCGCCCGCCAACGGCAACUUGUUAUCGGCGAUCAAGGUCCUUGACUCCCCAGGGGCCGGCUGCACUGCGCCUGAGGUCUGAUGUCUUAACCCACGGCGUCGGAUUACGCCCUGAGGUCGUCUCCUCGCGGGCUGCACCACGACCGAGCCGGUUCCUCUCCUAGGGGUCGGAACACGACUCCGGUCGCCCAGUGUUAGCCACUGCAGGACCACGCUGCCCGCAGAGCCUGGGGGUUUUCGUGUGAGAACACAGUUUUGCAGGGCUCGGGUCACGGGGGUGACGGCCCCAUCUGUCCUGCUUGGUAAAACACACAAGCACAAUUCUCCCUUUCUGUACGGAGGAAGGCGGCCCUGCCAUGUAUUCGCUCUAGAGACCCAUCACUGCGGAUUCAGAGACCAAGGUUUUGAAACUGAAAAUCAGGGCUUAGAAACACUAACAAGGAGACCGAAUGGCUGAAACCCCGAUACCUAUUUUCUUCAGCGCAUUUGAUACCAACAAGGGAGGAAAGAAAAAGACCACACUUGGGG
rnacentral:lncRNA from 1 species